GAUGAACGCUGGCGGCGUGCUUUACACAUGCAAGUCGAACGCUGAAGCCCCUUCGGGGGCCGGAUGAGUGGCGAACGGGUGAGUAACACGUGGGUAACCUACCUCGCACAUCGGGAUAAGCCCGGGAAACUGGGUCUAAUACCGAAUAUGACUUAUCACCACAUGGUGGUAAGUGGAAAGUUCCGGCGGUGCAGAUGGACCCGCGGCCUAUCAGCUUGUUGGUGGGGUAAUGGCCCACCAAGGCGACAACGGGUAGCCGGCCUGAGAGGGUGUCCGGCCACACUGGGACUGAGAUACGGCCC
rnacentral:rRNA from 1 species